rnacentral:antisense_RNA from 1 species
UUGACCGUGCUGUCCCAUUCGGGCGAUUCCUCCUCGCCGAGGAGGGCCUGGUCGCCGAAGAAGUCGCCGUCGGCGAGCGUCCCGUGCACCGCCUCGGUGCCGUACUCGCCCGCCGUCGUACGGCUGAGCUUGCCGUGCGCGACGAGGACGACCUUGUCGACGGCCCGGCCCUCCUCGACGAUGACCUCGCCGGGCUCGUACUCGUGCUGGACGAACCGUCCGGCGAGGGCGUCGAGGGCCAGAUCGUCGUCGUAGCCGCGCAGCGGGGGCAGUUCGCACAGCUCGCGGGGGAUGACGCGCACGUCCGCGCCCGUCGUCACGAACGUCACCCGGCCGUCGCCGAGCGUGUAGGUGAGCCGCCGGUUGACCCGGUAGGCGCCGCCCUUGGCCUCCGUCCAGGGCAGCAGCCGGAGCAGCCAGCGGGAGGUGAUGCCCUGCAUCUGCGGGACGGUCUUGGUCGUGGUCGCCAGAUUCCGUGCCGCCGAAGUGCCGAGGCUCAACUGCUGUUCCG